rnacentral:lncRNA from 1 species
GGUUCUACCUUAAAGUGGCAUUGCUUCAAAGGAAAAAACAGUGGAGAGCUAACCACUUAUCACAUGAUCUCGCACUAACCAAAUCCUAUCUAUUAAGACUCUUUUUGGCUCCUACAAUUCACAGUGAUCUUAUUUUAGUUGUCUCCGUUCUCCAAGGUUCUUGUUAGCAAUGUAAUAUAAAAACAACUAUUAUUGGCACAGUUUGUGCUCUAGAAUUUGACCUUUGUUGUCCCAAUAAAAGUAAAAUUUCAAGUUUCAAUACAAGGUAAACUGGACUUUAGACUAUCGUCUAUCCACACUUCAAGCUCAAAGGAUUCUUGUCAAUGGGGCAUUAGACCAAGAUCAAACAAGAAUUGACAACUAAGAUUGACAGCGAGAACAACAACAUGAAGUACUUUCAGUUCAAGAAUAGAGGCAUACCCCCAGCCUAAAUGCAGUCCCCCGAUUCCGACAAUCUUCAGCCAAUAUUUUAGUAGCACUCAAGGCUUC